AGUGAACGCUGGCGGUAGGCCUAACACAUGCAAGUCGAACGGCAGCACAGUAAGAGCUUGCUCUUACGGGUGGCGAGUGGCGGACGGGUGAGGAAUACAUCGGAAUCUACUUUUUCGUGGGGGAUAACGUAGGGAAACUUACGCUAAUACCGCAUACGACCUACGGGUGAAAGCAGGGGAUCUUCGGACCUUGCGCGAUUGAAUGAGCCGAUGUCGGAUUAGCUAGUUGGCGGGGUAAAGGCCCACCAAGGCGACGAUCCGUAGCUGGUCUGAGAGGAUGAUCGGCCACACUGGAACUGAGACACGGUCCAGACUACUACGGGAGGCAGCAGUGGGGAAUAUUAGGCAACGGGCGCAAGCCUGAUCCAGCCAUACCGCGUGGGUGAAGAAGGCCUUCGGGUCGUAAAGCCCUUUUGUUGGGAAAGAAAAGCAGUAGGUUAAUACCCCGCUGUUCUGACGGUACCCAAAGAAUAAGCACCGGCUAACUUCGUG
rnacentral:rRNA from 1 species